GACGAACGCUGGCGGCGUGCUUAAUACAUGCAAGUCGAACGGAAAGGCCCUGCUUUUGUUGGGUGCUCGAGUGGCGAACGGGUGAGUAUCACGUGAGUAACCUGCCCUUGACUUUGGGAUAACUUCAGGAAACUGGGGCUAAUACCGGAUAGGAGCUCCUGCUGCAUGGUGGGGGUUGGAAAGUUUCGGCGGUUGGGGAUGGACUCGCGGCUUAUCAGCUUGUUGGUGGGGUAGUGGCUUACCAAGGCUUUGACGGGUAGCCCGCCUGAGAGGGUGACCGGCCACAUUGGGACUGAGAUACGGCCCAGACUCCUACGGGAGGCAGUAGUGGGGAAUAUUGCACAAUGGGCGGAAGCCUGAUGCAGCGACGCCGCGUGCGGGAUGACGGCCUUCGGGUUGUAAACCGAUUUCGCCGGUGACGAAGCGUGAGUGACGGUAAUGGGUAAAGAAGCACCGGCUAACUACGUG
rnacentral:rRNA from 1 species